ensembl:lncRNA
GUGAAUUCUGAACCGGUGCUGAGAGGUUCAAUGUGGAGGUUCAGCCAUCACUCAGUGGCCGAAGAAUCCUCAGCCCCACUCCCAAGACACCCUCUUGAAAAGGUUCCAGCAAGCUUAGGAAGUGGCUUUCACAGCUCUGGUUUCUCUUCUGAGAAGCUCCCUGAAAAUCAGCCAGAGAAGAAAGACCCUUUCUAGGAAUAGGGAUGGAGUAAUCUACCAGCUCUCCCCAGCUCUGCAUUAAACCAAAGUCACCCUGAGCACUAUUAAGGAAACAGCCACAGCACCAAGCUCUGGAGAGCCUGUCUGAUUUCAGUGGAAAGAAGAAGACACACUGGCAUUCAGCUGUCCCCUAACCUGCUGGGGCCCAAGCUGUCUGAAAAGAUA